rnacentral:rRNA from 1 species
AUUGAACGCUGGCGGCAUGCCUUACACAUGCAAGUCGAACGGUAACGGGCCUUCGGGUGCCGCCGAGUGGCGAACGGGUGAGUAAUACAUCGGAACGUGCCCGAUCGUGGGGGUUAACGAGGCGAAAGCUUUGCUAAUACACCAUACGAUCUACGGAUGCCAGCGGGGGACCGCAAGGGCUUGCGCGGCCGGAGCGGCCGAUGGCAGAUUAGGUAGUUGGUGGGAUAAAAGCUUACCAAGCCGACGAUCUGUAGCUGGUCUGAGAGGAUGAUCAGCCACACUGGAACUGAGACACGGCCCAGACUCCUACGGGAGGCAGCAGUGGGGAAUUUUGGACAAUGGGCGCAAGCCUGAUCCAGCCAUGCCGCGUGCAGGAUGAAGGCCUUCGGGUUGUAAACUGCUUUUGUACGGAACGAAAAGCCUUCUUUUAAUACAGGAGGGUCAUGACGGUACCGUAAGAAUAAGCACCGGCUAACUACGUG